rnacentral:rRNA from 1 species
GGUUAAGCGACUAAGCGUACACGGUGGAUGCCCUGGCAGUCAGAGGCGAUGAAGGACGUGCUAAUCUGCGAUAAGCGCCGGUAAGGUGAUAUGAACCGUUAUAACCGGCGAUUUCCGAAUGGGGAAACCCAGUGUGACUCGUCACACUAUCAUUAACUGAAUCCAUAGGUUAAUGAGGCGAACCGGGGGAACUGAAACAUCUAAGUACCCCGAGGAAAAGAAAUCAACCGAGAUUCCCCCAGUAGCGGCGAGCGAACGGGGAGGAGCCCAGAGCCUGAAUCAGCAUGUGUGUUAGUGGAAGCGUCUGGAAAGGCGCGCGAUACAGGGUGACAGCCCCGUACACAAAAGCGCAUGUGCUGUGAGCUCGAUGAGUAGGGCGGGACACGUGGUAUCCUGUCUGAAUAUGGGGGGACCAUCCUCCAAGGCUAAAUACUCCUGACUGACCGAUAGUGAACCAGUACCGUGAGGGAAAGGCGAAAAGAACCCCGGCGAGGGGAGUGAAAAAGAACCUGAAACCGUGUACGUACAAGCAGUGGGAGCCCCACCACUAAGCCAGUGGUGAACUCCACAUACGCAUCCUUUGCUGAGGAUACGGUUAACGGAGCGAAAGCGACGUUCAACCUCAAAAGAAGCAGAGGGGGCUUAGUGGUGG